rnacentral:rRNA from 1 species
CCUACGGGAGGCAGCAGUCGAGAAUCAUUCACAAUGGGGGAAACCCUGAUGGUGCGACGCCGCGUGGGGGAAUGAAGGUCUUCGGAUUGUAAACCCCUGUCAUGUGGGAGCAAAUUAAAAAGAUAGUACCACAAGAGGAAGAGACGGCUAACUCUGUGCCAGCAGCCGCGGUAAUACAGAGGUCUCAAGCGUUGUUCGGAAUCACUGGGCGUAAUGCGUGCGUAGGCUGUUUCGUAAGUCGUGUGUGAAAGGCGCGGGCUUAACCCGCGGACGGCACAUGAUACUGCGAGACUAGAGUAAUGGAGGGGGAACCGGAAUUCUCGGUGUAGCAGUGAAAUGCGUAGAUAUCGAGAGGAACACUCGUGGCGAAGGCGGGUUCCUGGACAUUAACUGACGCUGAGGCACGAAGGCCAGGGGAGCGAAAGGGAUUAGAUACCCCUGUAGUC